ensembl:lncRNA
UUUCCUUUUUUCCCUUUUUCCCUCCUUUUCUCUCUUUCCCCCCUUUUCAUUUUUCCUUUUUUCCCCUAUUUUUUUUCCUUUUUAUUUUUAUUUUUUAAUCAUCAUUUUUUUCUUUUUGCAGUAGGAGUCUUUGCCUGCUUUUCUUUCUUGGUUCUGUACAAAGAAGCCUUGGAAGGUUAUCUGCUGCUAUCAGGAAUGCUACUCUUGGUCUUCCUCAGUUACCCAAACACGGAUUUCUGUGUUUUAAACUCUCAGUGGACGCUUUUUCCUUAUUAUAGCUAACGUAAAUCCAGGAGAUUGCAUAGAAGAGUUUCCUACAAAUCCCUUUCUUUCUCUUUGCGAUCCGGCAACCAGACAGCCUCCAGUAAUUCGUUGUAGGCCCCAUUCGAACCCUCCCUCCACUUUCGCCCGCGCUGCAGGAAAUGGACGCCUUGCUCCCCCUGCCUCGCGUGAGCAGUGGUACAGCCCGCCCACCUCUCGCGAGAGCAGUGGUGCGGACAGCCCCCCGCCGUAGGGUGGUACAUCCUGAGCCCUUAUAAGCGGCGGCCGCGAUUCUUCCCGCCCUUUCUCCUCGUGCGGCAGGUGUGGUUUGGUGUUAUGGUGGCUCUCGGUAGAGCUGCGGAGAGGGCCCCCAUCCCCCGGGCAGCGGUGGUGCACGCCGUGCCUCCUCGUCCCCCAAGGGCUAUAGGCCCGACCGCUCGAGGUGGCAGUUGAGGGAGAUGAAGGAGAGCUGGCCUCGCUCCUCCCGUCCCCGCAGGCCCUUAUGGAGACGGAUGGCGGUACCGCGCCCGGCCGGGAGUGCGCAGGCAGCGCUGGAACGGCCCUGCGGUCCGUCCUGAGAUCGACUGCUGAGGAGUACUGCUUUAAUGCUUGUUUGGUGUCUAUUCGCCCAGCGGAACGAUGCCCUGAAGCAAAGAAAGCUGGGAUUUGCAGAUGAUGUGAUACAAUAAGGACUGGGAGCAGGCAUCUGUCUGGAGAUGGCCAUAAUGUGAAGCCCUUCAGAAGGCCUUGGGACAGAAGUGAGACUGCAAGGGCAAGAGAUUGUUCUGGAAAUGCAUCCAUAUAUCUGAGGAUAUCAUAUGAUGAAACUAACCAAAAAUUGCUGGAAUUACCGGCAGAUUGACUGGUGGUGUUGAUGCUGAAAGCACAUUUGUUUGAGGAAGAAGGAACCCAAUGGAACAUGAGUGAGCUUGGCAACUGACCUUUGUAAACGUCACCUGUUUUUCUGUGCGUAGACUUGUAAGAUAAGAGGAUGUUUACACUGUUCUGAUAUACAUUAAAGUUCUAAAAAACCC